rnacentral:rRNA from 1 species
UCAGCAGCCCGCGGUAAUACGGAGGGUGCAAGCGUUAAUCGGAAUUACUGGGCGUAAAGCGCACGCAGGCGGUCUGUCAAGUCGGAUGUGAAAUCCCCGGGCUCAACCUGGGAACUGCAUUCGAAACUGGCAGGCUGGAGUCUUGUAGAGGGGGGUAGAAUUCCAGGUGUAGCGGUGAAAUGCGUAGAGAUCUGGAGGAAUACCGGUGGCGAAGGCGGCCCCCUGGACAAAGACUGACGCUCAGGUGCGAAAGCGUGGGGAGCAAACAGGAUUAGAUACCCUGGUAGUCCACGCUGUAAACGAUGUCGACUUGGAGGUUGUUCCCUUGAGGAGUGGCUCCGGAGCUAACGCGUAAGUCGACCGCCUGGAUA